GGCUACAGGACGAACGCUGGCGCGUGCUUAAUACAUGCAAGUCAACGACUUUAGAGUAGCAAAUAUUUUAAAAGGGAGUGGCGCACGGGUGAGUAACACGUAGGUAAUCUGCCUUCAGGACUGACACAACUCGUCGAAAGACGGGCUAAUAUCAGAUAAUGCAGCGGCUCCGCAUGGAGACAGUUGUUAAAGUACAAGCGCCUGAAGAUGAGCCUGCGGUCCAUUAGCUAGUUGGUAGAGUAACAGCCUACCAAGGCAACGAUGGAUAGCUGGUCUGAGAGGAUGAUCAGCCACACUGGAACUGAGACACGGUCCGGACUCCUACGGGAGGCAGCAGUAAGGAAUAUUGCUCAAUGGCCGAAAGGCUGAAGCAGCAACGCCGCGUGAAGGAUGAAUGGCCUUUGGCCUGUAAACUUCUGUAAAAAGGGAAAAACAAUCAGGCAUGUCCUGAUUUGAUUGUACCUUUGAAGUAAGCCCCGGCUAACUACGUG
rnacentral:rRNA from 1 species